rnacentral:rRNA from 1 species
CAGAGUUUGAUCCGGCUAAGGAUGAACGCUAGCUACAGGCUUAACACACGCAAGUCGAGGGGCAGCAUGAACUUAGCUUGCUAAGUUUGAUGGCGACCGGCGCACGGGUGAGUAACACGUAUCCAACCUGCCGAUGACUCGGGGAUAGCCUUUCGAAAGAAAGAUUAAUACCCGAUGGCAUAGUUCUUCCGCAUGGUAGAACUAUUAAAGAAUUUCGGUCAUCGAUGGGGAUGCGUUCCAUUAGGUUGUUGGCGGGGUAACGG